UACGAAGGGUGCAAACGUUGCUCGGAAUUAUUGGGCGUAAAGCGCACGUAGGCGGCUCUGAAAGUCCCAUGUGAAAGCCCACGGCUUAACCGUGGAAGUGCAUGGGAAACUGCAGAGCUUGAGUACCAAAGAGGAUCGCGGAAUUCCCGGUGUAGAGGUGAAAUUCGUAGAUAUCGUAAGGAAGACCAGUGGCGAAGGCGGGUCUCUGGACAGUUCCUGACGCUGAGGCACGAAG
rnacentral:rRNA from 1 species